rfam:Ixodes scapularis strain Wikel colony gcontig_1108379485264, whole genome shotgun sequence.
CCCUGGUUAGCUCAGUUGGUAGAGCGCUCCACUGGAAAUGGAGAGGUCCCGGGUUCGAUACCCGGACCAGGCG